rfam:Stegodyphus mimosarum contig87551, whole genome shotgun sequence.
GCUUUCGUGGUGUAGUGGUCAGCACACUCGGCAAGCAUUCGAGAGGUCCGCGGUUCGAGUCCCAGCGAGGGCU